GGAAAAAUUUUAAAGUCUUGCCAUUUUUGAGGGUAAUAUUCAACUGCUAGAGGUUUAUCUAUCAUCCCAGUGGCAUAUUUGAUAAUUCACUUCAAAAUCAAUGACAGUUCAUCAUUCCCCACAGGGCUUCAAUGUUUCUAUUUGAAAUCUACAGAAAGCUGAGCCAAGUACAUGCAGCAAAUUUUAUUUUGGAUCCCCAGCUGGGAUAAUUCCGUGGAUAAAACCUCCUGUAGUCCCCAAAUGCGCUCAACAUUUCCAGAUGUCAAAUACAGAACCAACAAGUUCCAGGUCUUCAGAAGUUGGGCAAGUAUUCCAAUGGAGAGGGAAGGAGGAUUGCACUUCUAUUUUCUUUAUAAAGUAGGAGAUAAAGUCACCUGCUGGGAGUAAGGAGGGAGGUUAUGCAAGCAAGGUUCACAGUCUUCUCUGAACUUUGAGUUCUAUCCAACUUUUGAAAUAGUCAUCACGGGAAGUAAGAAUAGGAGUGGAACAAAGAAACACUAGAAUAACUGGGUAUUGGUGAGGACGCAGUUGAGGUAGGUGAUUAUGAAGUUACACUGAGAACAAUUAGUCAUGUUCAGUAAUUCUCACUCAGCUACUCAUGUGUGAAUACUGAGAAAAUGAAUAGUUGCAAUUAUCCAGAUUGAGGGUAGUAGAGGCAUGUGUAAAGGAAGAAAAAAGGGAUGAGGGGACUGAGUACUAGAAUGACUGAAAUGAAGGAGCAGGAAAUCUGAGCUGAACAGUGAUGUAUUAGAGAGAAGUAGUGAGAGCAAUGACCUGAGGGCCCACUGAGACACAAGAAUAAUCACAGAGGGAGCAGAUGAAAGAAUAAGCUAGAAUAAUAGAAGAUUCUUCUCGGGAAACACAGUGCUUAAAUUAGUGUUUUGGUGGCAGAGGAGCUUUUUAAAAAUUAAUUCUUUAUAAAGCAUGAAAACAUGAAUGCAUUCCCCUUUAAAUGUUGGAGAAAAACCAAAAUCUUUGAUGCAUUUGAGUAAAAGCUAAACCAUUUUUGGCUACCCACAUCCUCUUUCCCUUUCUGCAAAGGUAAACCACAAUAACAGUUUGAUGUCUAUUUCAUGUACAAACAUACCUAGCCACAGAGAAUAUAUGUUAUUGGUUUGUGUGUAUGUAUAGAGCUAUGUGGCUAUGUAUUUGUUGUAUAUACAUAUCAAUCUGCUGCUUACUUUUUUUCAUGUGAUGAUGUUUUAUUUAACACCCGCAUCUGGCUUUAUUGAUACAUGGAGCUGCUGUUCAUUCCUCUAACUAACAUAGAUCAUUUCAUUAUAUGAAUAUGUUAUACUUAAUUUUAUCAUUUCCUUAUUGGAGGUACAUUGGUCAGGGUUCAGUUCGGGAAACAAAUAGCAGUAUGUAGAUUAAGCAGGUAGAGAUAACAGAGAGAGAAUUGGGACUUACAAAAUCAUUAGAAAGGCUAAAAAGAGGGUUCUCAGUGGGCCCAUCAGGAAUAUCUUCCAAAACAGUACAGAAUUGACCAACUAAUGUAGCUAUUACCUCUGAGACCGCCUCU
rnacentral:lncRNA from 1 species